rnacentral:rRNA from 1 species
AGUCGAACGAAGCACUUUAUUUGAUUGCCUUCGGGACUGGUUAUUUUGUGACUGAGUGGCGGACGGGUGAGUAACGCGUGGGUAACCUGCCUUGUACAGGGGGAUAACAGUUGGAAACGGCUGCUAAUACCGCAUAAGCGCACGGCAUCGCAUGAUGCAGUGUGAAAAACUCCGGUGGUAUAAGAUGGACCCGCGUUGGAUUAGCUAGUUGGUGAGGUAACGGCCCACCAAGGCGACGAUCCAUAGCCGACCUGAGAGGGUGACCGGCCACAUUGGGACUGAGACACGGCCCAAACUCCUACGGGAGGCAGCAGUGGGGAAUAUUGCACAAUGGGCGAAAGCCUGAUGCAGCGACGCCGCGUGAGCGAAGAAGUAUUUCGGUAUGUAAAGCUCUAUCAGCAGGGAAGAUAAUGACGGUACCUGACUAAGAAGCACCGGCUAAAUACGUGCCAGCAGCCGCGGUAAUACGUAUGGUGCAAGCGUUAUCCGGAUUUACUGGGUGUAAAGGGAGCGCAGGCGGUGCGGCAAGUCUGAUGUGAAAGCCCGGGGCUCAACCCCGGUACUGCAUUGGAAACUGUC